AUGUAUUAAUAAAGUUCACUAAGUGUCCUUAUGUCAAUUUAUCACAUGGAUAGUGUGGGGAAGGGAAGUUUCAGGGAAGGGAAGUUUCAGGGAAGGGAAGGGAAGGGAAGUUUCAGGGAAGUUUCAGGGAAGUUUCAGGGAAGUUUCAGGGAAGUUUCAGGGAAGUUUCAGGGAAGGGAAGGGAAGGGAAGGGAAGGGAAGGGAAAUUAAUUUUGCAGCAGUGAAGACACCACAUAAGAAUCCAAUACAAUCUGCAGCAGUUGUGAAAGGAAGGGAGUUAU
rnacentral:lncRNA from 12 species